CCUUGUUUUGUUUUUUUUUUUUUUUGAGACAGGGUCUUGCUCUGUAGCCCAGGCCGGAGUGCAGUAGUGCAAUCAUAGCUCACUGUAGCCUCCAUCUCCUGGGCUCAAGCUAUCCUCUCACCUCAGCCUCCCAAGUAGCUGAAACUACAGGCACGCACCACCACGUCCAGCUAAUUUUUGUAUUUUUUGUAGAGACGGGGUUUCACCAUGUUGCUCAGGUUGGAAUCUCAUUUCUUAUCACAACAAAUCCAUUAUGGGGGUAGCUAUUCUUAUCUCCACACAGAGAAGAGGCCCUGAAAGGUGAUGCAACUCACAAGACCACAUGGCUGGGAAGUGGCAGAGCUGGGCUUCAACCUAGAUCUGUCGGAUUCCCAACCCCCCAUACUAUUUUUUCCCUCGAAUCAGACCAUAGUCUGUGGCUUUUGUCUUAAAUACCCACUGAGUGAACCAGUUUUUAAAAGAACAAAACCUGGAAGCAAACCAGGCCAGGCUCAGAUGGAGCUAGAACAAGCUUUUGCUGGGGUCAGUCUCCCGCUCUGAGGCCCUGCCUCAUCUACAGGGGGCCCAAGCCUGGUCUGUGACCCCUGUCUGUAGGGAAUCCAGGACACCUGGAAGCUGACCUCAUUUCACCCUAAAGAGUCAGGGAAGGGAGGCUCCGGAGAGGCCCUGCUCCCUGUGCCCAGUGGGUCUCCCCUGUGGACUGAUAUAUGGUUCAGCAAAGCCCAGACCCUCCCUGCCACCUCCCCAAAGGUAGUCAAGGCAGGACCUGGCUGCUGAUGGGAGGAUGUUCCUGUUAUUACUACAGGAAAAAAAAUCAGCCUAAAUCUUAGUGGCCUAAACUAACAAUUUUGUUACGUUUACAGACUCUGUGGGUCAAGAAUUUGGACAAGGCACAGUGGGGGCGUGAGCUCCAUGAUGUCCACUGUCUCACCUAGGAAGAUUCAGUAGCUGUGGGUACCAUGACAGCUGGCAGCUGGAAUCAUCUGAGGAUCAUCACCCACAUGUCUGACGGUUGAUACUGGCUGUCAGGCUAAGUCCUGCACAGCUGAGGGGCGGCCUCUUCCUGGAACCCUUCCCACCCUCUCCCAAAGCUCAGCUGGUGCCCUCCAGGAGUGGUGGGUUUUCUUGUGUCUCCUCUGUGGACAGCAAGCCCCUUGAGGCCAGUGACAUUCCUCAUGCAACUCUGCAUCCCUGGUACCCAGCAGGGGCUGGACCUGGGCACUUCCUCCACGUCAGGCCUGAUGCCAGCCCCGGGGAAGACGAUAACUCAGCCUUGCAAUUCACUUUGUGGUUCACAACGUGCUUCCAUUAUAAAAGUCCCAGCCACCCUGCAAAGGACUGAAGAUUCUGCUGGGGACCUUACUCUCCUGCAUUUCCAAGCCAUCCUGUGCUUGGAUGGGACAAGCUCUUGCAACUUCAGAAAAUGCCAUCAGGCAGAAAAGUGGAGAGACCUGGUGGGUGCUUGCAGCAGACCAGAGUUCAGGAGCUGUCCACCAAGGCUGCAGCAGAACUCAAGGCAGGCACCAAUAGCAUUUGCUUUGAGACGUGGUGUGUCUUUGUCAUCAUAAAGUAUUUUGGGGAUAUAAAACCAGGAAUGAGACAUAGAAGUCAGGGGUGAUUUCCCCAGAAUAGGUGACAUUUGAGUUGAAUUUUGCAAGGUGACUACACAAUGGGAGAAGAGGCAUUUCAGAUAAAGGCUGAGGUGUGAAACAGCUUGUCUUCAGGAGAAACUGCAGAGCUUGUACCUGAGUCAUGGGGUUUGGCCAAGAUUGAGGUAGGAGCAGAUGUGAAAGCCAACUGGUGAAGGGCUUUGAAUACCAGACUCAGGAGGUCAGACUUUAUCCCCAGGCACUAGGGAGCCAAGGCAGGCUUCUGAACAGGAAAGGGGCACAGUCAGAUCCAUAUUAUAGAAAGAUCUGUCUGGGGCUGGUGUGGAAGAUGGAUUGCGAAGGGGCAGACUGGAGCCAGAGCCCUGGGAGGAGGAUCCCUGCAGGGGUCCUUGGCCCAGGCUAGCCUGUGAGGCUCCUCCCUCCCCAUUUCCCUGAGGGGUGGGCCCUGCCUGACAUAUGCUUGAUGAACCCAGAGAACAGCACUGGAGUGGGCAUUCCCCAGAUCCAUGUUGACCGAUCUGGACCUUAUCUGGUUUGGUACAAGCUCAAUGUCAUCAUUAGCUAGAUAUGGUCAUUAUCUGGAUUUAAUCAUUAUCAAAUUACAGACCUGGCUUAUAUUCCACUCUCACUCCAUCUCUGUGGGCCUCUCCAUCUCUUUUUCUGUCUUUGUCUCUGAGUUCCUCUCUCUCUUUUUAAAAAUCCAUACUUCAGAUACACACAAGUGAGUUAAACUGAGUCCUUGGUUCAUGACAUGCCUUCAGCAUUGGUGCAUCAAGUCCUACAAUGUAUAUAAUACAAGAUAGUAGAAAACAUAAUCUAAUAUAUGCACCUGGAUCCACUGCUCACCCCAAGAACUAGAACAGAAUAGUAUCUGACAUCCGCCUCUGUGCUGCACCCCGUCCCAUCCCCCAGCUGUCUGCUGGAGGGCACUAAGAUUCUGAAUUUUGAGUUUAUCCUCUGCUAGUUUCCUUGUUUUUAGUAUUAUUACAUGUAUAUAUACCUAAUUAAUAUGUAGUUUGUUUUUACUUGUUUAUUAAUUUUAUGUUAAAAGUGCCAUACUGUAUAUACUCGUCUUUUCUUUUUAACUCAAUACUGUUGAUGAGAAUGUCUCCAGGUUGUUGUAUAUAAUCAUGAUUCAUUUGUUUGAAGG
ensembl:lncRNA